rnacentral:lncRNA from 1 species
UUUGAAUUAAUGGUUCCAUAUCAUCAUUAUAAAAAAAAAUAACAAUAUCUGAAGAAGGCAUUGCUUUAAAAAAAAAUUGAAGAAGGCAAAGAACAUUGUGGAGACCUUUCAAUUUUAGUAUAGGCGGAGCAUGAAGUAGUGUUAGGCCGCCCUGCACAAAGAGCUAGUCUUUAACUAUAGACUGCACACAACUUCCACUCAAGACAUCCACACACACACACAAA